rnacentral:rRNA from 1 species
CGCUGGCGGCAUGCCUAACACAUGCAAGUCGAACGAGACCUUCGGGUCUAGUGGCGCACGGGUGCGUAACGCGUGGGAAUCUGCCCCUUGGUUCGGAAUAACAGUUAGAAAUGACUGCUAAUACCGGAUGAUGACGAAAGUCCAAAGAUUUAUCGCCGAGGGAUGAGCCCGCGUAGGAUUAGCUAGUUGGUGAGGUAAAGGCUCACCAAGGCGACGAUCCUUAGCUGGUCUGAGAGGGUGAUCAGCCACACUGGGACUGAGACACGGCCCAGACUCCUACGGGAGGCAGCAGUGGGGAAUAUUGGACAAUGGGCGAAAGCCUGAUCCAGCAAUGCCGCGUGAGUGAUGAAGGCCUUAGGGUCGUAAAGCUCUUUUACCAGGGAUGAUAAUGACAGUACCUGGAGAAUGAGCUCCGGCUAACUCCGUG